GACGAACGCUGGCGGUGUGCUUAACACAUGCAAGUCGAACGGAAAGGCCCUGCUUUUUUGGGGUGACCGAGUGGCGGACGGGUGCGCAACGCGUGUGUAUCCUGCUCUAGACUUUGGGAUAACUUCAGGAAACUGGGGUUACUACCGGAUCGGAGCUCCUGUUCCAUGGUGGGGGGUGGAAAGUUUCGGCGGUUGGGGAUGGACUCGCGGCUUAUCAGCUUGCUGGUGGGGGAGGGGCUUGCCGAGGCUUUGGCGGGUACCCGGCAUGUGAGGGUGACCGGCCACAUGGCGACUGAGAGACGGCGCAGAGUGCAACGGGAGGCAGCAGGGGGGAAUAUUGCACAAUGGGCGGAAGUCUGAGACAGCAACGCCGCGUUCGGGAUGACGGCCUGCGGGGAGAGAACCGCUGUCGCCUAAUACGAAGCGGGAGUGACGGUAAUGGAUAAAUAAGCACCGGCUAACUACGUG
rnacentral:rRNA from 1 species